CCUACGGGAGGCAGCAGUGAGGAAUAUUGGUCAAUGGCCGGAAGGCUGAACCAGCCAAGCCGCGUGAAGGACGAAGGUGCCAAGCAUUGUAAACUUCUUUUGUCAGGGAGCAAUUGGGUCCACGCGUGGGCUUAGCGAGAGUACCUGAAGAAAAAGCAUCGGCUAACUCCGUGCCAGCAGCCGCGGUAAUACGGAGGAUGCGAGCGUUAUCCGGAUUUAUUGGGUUUAAAGGGUGCGUAGGCGGAAUAUCAAGUCAGCGGUAAAAAUUCGGGGCUCAACCCCGUCGUGCCGUUGAAACUGAUGUUCUUGAGUGGGCGAGAAGUAUGCGGAAUGCGUGGUGUAGCGGUGAAAUGCUUAGAUAUCACGAAGAACUCCGAUUGCGAAGGCAGCUUACUAAACUGCCACUGACAUUGAUGCUCGAAAGUGUGGGUAUCAAACAGGAUUAGAUACCCUGGUAGUC
rnacentral:rRNA from 1 species